GAGAUAAGAGGGAGUGGUAAAACAAAAAAAGGAGGCCAUGUACAACACAACCACACUCCUCUCUCUCUGUCAGAGCCAGGAAGUUGGCAGUGGUGCUCAAGCUGCAUCAUUAAUAGACAUAUUGCAACAUGAGUGGGAGGGAAAACGAGAGAGCAGUGAAAUAGGAAGAAAGGCGGUGUGUGAGACUCGAGCAGGGAAUGUGAAGCAGUGAGGGUGAAUGCAUGUCUGAAAUGGAGAAUGCAGGAGGGAGGCAAUUAGGGCAAAAGAGAGGAAAAAAUGGGGGAAAACACGUAAGACUUGAGAGCAUGUGUGGCAGUGAUGCAUCAUCUAUUUUUGCCCUGUGCUGCUGUGGGAGAUAAACAUACUCAGUAGGAGCCCAGAGGCAGAGGAGAGAACAGUGGUGUUAAUCACUACAGACAGGAUCGAUUAAAAAUGCAAAGGCCUCCUGGAGCGCAGGGACACUAGAGACCCAUGGGAGGCAUGGAGGACAUGUGCAUGCACUGUUCACACAUGCAGAUGCUUCCUGCUUAGAGAUCAGCUUCCAUGCACCCCUUCUGGAAAAGCAUUCCCACGACAUGAUGCUGCCACCAUCCUGUUUCACCUUGAGAAUGUCUGUUCUUGGUUUCCCAGGUUUCCUACAUGACUCGAUCAAGCUUUAGUGUUGGGUGCUUUUUCUGAGUAACAUAACAAAAAAGCUCAAUCUAAAGGUCAAUCUAUUUAUCAUUUAGUCUUCCAUAAAGUCUAGACGUGUGGAGCAAACGAUA